UGAGCAGCACGUCUCAGAAAGAGGACGAUGCUACGACAUUACCCUCCUCACUACUGAGACCAGAACCAGAACCAACCUCUUAGCUGUGGAGCCCAGCAGGAGGCGACUGGCCAUAAGAUCAAUGCUAACAUCACUGUUCCUGCUGAGACUCAUCCCAGUGCUGUUUGGAUCUGCUGACAGUUUUAGCUUCUAGAUUUCAGGAGCGUGCACACCUUUAGAUGUUCUUUGUGUCGGCUGUGAUGUUCAACCUGCUGUUUAUGAUGUGCAGCUGCGUUCUGACUGUUACAUUCACUUUUCAUCAUCUGUUUCAGAGUCCACUGGAUGGAAAGUUGCUGUUGCAGUUCUUGCUCUUGUUGUUGUUGUUGCUGUAGUUGUGAUAGCUGUGCUUUGUGUACGUCGCACCAGAUGAAAUUCUCUGAGAGGUUCAGAUCAACAGGCACAGGGACAAGAGUCUCAGCAUAAUACCCUGAUUUCCUAACUAGCUUUAUGUGCUGUGCAGUCGGCUAAUGAAGUGUGUAUUUGUGCUGUA